rnacentral:rRNA from 1 species
AGUAAUGUAUGGGGAUCUGCCCGAUAGAGGGGGAUAACUACUGGAAACGGUGGUUAAUACCGCAUAAUGUCUACGGACCAAAGCAGGGGCUCUUCGGACCUUGCACUAUCGGAUGAACCCAUAUGGGAUUAGCUAGUAGGUGGGGUAAAGGCUCACCUAGGCGACGAUCUCUAGCUGGUCUGAGAGGAUGAUCAGCCACACUGGGACUGAGACACGGCCCAG